rnacentral:rRNA from 1 species
GUAGUGGCGAACGAAAAGGAAGGAGCCCAGCGCAGAACGUUCCGGGGCACUCGCCCUGAGAAUGAAUGUUGCGUUAAGGAUAUUGGCAUACACCCAUGGCAGUUACACUUUGCUAAGUCAGCCUCGAAUGGUUCUCGUGAAGCCGGUAACACGGUGAGACUCCAGGGAGGGUGUUAGACCCGUGUGAAGGUGCAAUCUGCUUGGGCAAGCCGAUAUCCCGAGAGUCGCGUUGUUUGAACAUGCAGCGCUAAGCAGGUCGUAGACUCGAUCUAAGGCUAAAUAUGUCCACAGAACCGAUAGUUAACAAGUACCGUGAGGGAAAGUUGAAAAGCACUCCGUAACGGAGAGUCAAAAGACCGUGAAACCACUCAGAGUAUAAGCCAAUGGUGUCUGGAAGGUCCUGUGCUUACAUCUUGGUGUCAAGGACUCAUGCGAACCUCAGCACUUGCGGGAGCAAUCUCCGUUGCUUUGGUAAGCUUGUCCGCUGAAGCACUCCGUUGACCCACCUGGCUCGUUGUGAGGUGUCCUGAGAGCAAAGCGAAGUGUUAAGAUUGGCUUGGAGUUGGGCGUGGGCGUCUCGAUGCCUUUCGCACUCUCCUUUUCGAGCACUUCUUCAGUUCUAUUCGCACAAAGUGUGGUAGUCUUGGAGUGUGCGCUGCUUGACGCUCUCUGGAACCAUCCUCUGCGACGAAGCUUCAAUGCCUUAGUGAGCGGCCGUCUUCCUCCUCGGGAGUCGGUACAUUGGCGCGGCUUGCACACUGUCGGUGCUCCGCUGUUCAACUCUGGCGCAAGGUGUUACGUCCGAUACCAUUGGUCACGUCUCGAAACACGGGCCAAGGAGUAUAGCGUGUGUGCAAGUCUAAGGGUUCCACAAAACCUGGAGGCGUAGUGAAAGCGAGUUAUGGUGUCUCACUGGACUGAUGGAGAAGGCAGUGAUGCGUGAUCCCGCAAGUCCCGGACUCGUCGUCUGCACUGCUUCGGUUGUGUUAGCGCGAGCACCGCAGAGCACAUACGCUAUGACCCGAAAGAUAGUGAACUAUGCUUGGCGAGGGUGAAGCCCCAGGAAACUGGGGUGGAGGCCCGUAGCCGUUGUGACGUGCAAAUCCA